GACGAACGCUGGCGGCGUGCUUAACACAUGCAAGUCGAACGGAAAGGCCCUGCUUUUGUGGGGUGCUCGAGUGGCGAACGGGUGAGUAACACGUGAGUAACCUGCCCUUGACUUUGGGAUAACUUCAGGAAACUGGGGCUAAUACCGGAUAGGAGCUCCUGCUGCAUGGUGGGGGUUGGAAAGUUUCGGCGGUUGGGGAUGGACUCGCGGCUUAUCAGCUUGUUGGUGGGGUAGUGGCUUACCAAGGCUUUGACGGGUAGCCGGCCUGAGAGGGUGACCGGCCACAUUGGGACUGAGAUACGGCCGAGACUCCUACGGGAGGCAGCAGUGGGGAAUAUUGCACAAUGGGCGGAAGCCUGAUGCAGCAACGCCGCGUGCGGGAUGACGGCCUUCGGGUUGUAAACCGCUUUCGCCUGUGACGAAGCGUGAGUGACGGUAAUGGGUAAAGAAGCACCGGCUAACUACGUG
rnacentral:rRNA from 1 species